CCUCCUCGUGCAAUAAAGGAGAUCAGUUAGUCCGGGCGCGCCUUCUUCUUGAUGAGAGCCUGUCUCUGGGAAAGGGAUUGAGCUUCAAGGAAUACAUAAAAGAAAGUAGUAAAAAACACAACCCAGCCCCGUGCAGUGCCGCCACGUCCCCAGUGACUGGCAGGACCCUCGCCCAGAAGCAGCCUCCGGUGUCCAAGCUCGGAUCUCAAGGAGAGGGUUUGUGAGUGAGGCCAUCUGCUGGAUUCCAGUGGCGGGCACAGUGAUCAAGGACUCAUGGACAAGGCAGCAUAAGAAGAACCACGGCCCCCUCCCCCCAGUCCCAUGACGGGGCGGAGUAAGAAUCCUGGAGCUGGAUUCUUGGCGGACCCUGACGGUUCUUUGCUGAGAGGUUGCCAGGAGACCUGUGGGGAUAUUGGGAAAGCCCAGGGUUCUGUGGCCAAGGCCUGAGAAGAGAAAGGAGGACAGUAGCAAUGUGAAG